rnacentral:tRNA from 1 species
GACUCCAUGGCCCAAUGGAUAAGGUGCUGGUCUACAAAACUAGAGAUUCUGAGUUCGAUCCCCAGUGGAGUCG